rnacentral:rRNA from 1 species
UACGUAGGGGGCAAGCGUUAUCCGGAAUUACUGGGUGUAAAGGGAGCGUAGACGGUGAUGCAGGUCUGGAGUGAAAGGCGGGGGCCCAACCCCCGGACUGCUCUGGAAACUGUAUGACUGGAGUGCAGGAGAGGUAAGCGGAAUUCCUAGUGUAGCGGUGAAAUGCGUAGAUAUUAGGAGGAACACCAGUGGCGAAGGCGGCUUACUGGACUGUAACUGACGUUGAGGCUCGAAAGCGUGGGGAGCAAACAGG